AUGAAACAAAGGGAGAAAAGGAUUUGUGCUGGUUGUAUCGUAUCAUGUGGAAGGAAAUGAAGAGCGGUAAUAAAAAGGUUUUGUCUGCUUGGUGAUCUCCAUUCAGAUUUCCCAUUUGAUAAAUAUAGCAACUCAGUCAGCUGUGACAAUAUCCUGAGAGAAAGGAAAGGAAACAGAGAGGAAUGAGUAUUGAUUGGAGGUGAUGAAUCUCACUGGGCAUCUGCAACAGGCACCGUAUCUUGGCACUUCUGGGAAUCACGACGUCUUUUUGUGGCUAUGCUGCACUCAAUGUAAUCAGAUUACCUAUGAGCAUUUUAUUAGGCCCAUUGACCCAGAAUGCAGUUUGGCACCAAUUCCCAUUUCUUGAAAAACUAUUUCUAGAGGGGGAGGGGGGUUCAGAUUACGGUGCCGAGGCGAGGUCUAAUCGGCAUCAGCUGAUUGAUUAUCAGUUGAUCAAUCAGCCCCAGGUGUAAUUAACCUAUCUGUGUUUGUGCAUAUCGCUUCCCGAUAAAGAGCAGCAGGAACCGAGACGCGGGAGAAGGCUCUCGGGCGAGAGCUCCCGUCCGAUCGCCAGCGUUAUAUGUGAAAUAAAAAGGUUUGUUAAAACAUAACAAUCCGUGUUGCUGCCUCCAUAUUCAGUCCGAUACUCACGGGGUACCAGAGAAAGCCGUUGGACACUUUGCAUCAUCGGGUCAAAACUCAAGUUUGCCCAAUACUUCUAUUUAUGACAGAAUACCGAUCAGCUGCACUUUGGGUUUACUGCUAAUUAGCUAACCUAAUCUCUUAGGGUAAUUUAAGGCCUUAAAUUGCCCCAAGUACAGCUUCAUGGACUUUUUUACUGCUUUGUUCAAACAACCCAAGAUGCCAAUAGGGAUGCUAUAAUCACUGACAAGUCCUCAAUUUAACAAUAAGUCACAUGUCGGAUUAGCUGAUUUUGAUUUUGAGUUGGAUCAUGGGAUUACCUCAUGACCGCUUCACCGUUGUUUUUCCAGUAAAAGCGUUGUGUUUUUAGUGUGGGCAAAUCAUUUAACCCUUGUGUUGCCUUAGGGUCAUUUUGACCCGAAUCAAUAUUACACCCUCCCCCCGCUUUAGGAUUAAUUUGACCCCAUUCAAUGUUUAAUGUCGGUGUUCUUUCGGUAGUCAACAAACAAACAUAAAGUGCCUCACACUUAAACUUGGAAAACAAUAUUAAUUCUAAUAAUUUUCUGGAGGUUUUAAUUGCUGGCGUCAAAUUGAACACAAAGGGUAAAAUAUGUUAGUAAAUAUAAAGGUAACAGGAGGGUGAAACAUUGAAUCGGGUCAAAAUGACCCAAAGGCGGGGGGAGGGUGUAAUAUUGAUUCGGGUCAAAAUGACCCUAAGGCAACACAAGGGUUCAGGAGGGAAAUUCCAGUUGACACACAAUUCCUUCAUAAUGACUGUGUGUGUGUGUGUGAGUGGACUUUAACCGGUUAUAAUCCAACUGUGAAUGCCCAGUCACUCAUGCAGUUUCUCUUCAUAAGAAUCGAUAUGUGAACUUAUCCUAUUGUUUAAAGUAGGGAUGCACCGAUCUGAUCGGCCGAUAUUCCCAUUAUCGGUUUUGAUCGGCGUUCUCAAAACGGCCGAUCAGAUGACGUAACAUCUGCGAGAACUAUCAGACGGGGGCCGCAGAGUGAGAGGUCCACGAGGGGAUCCUCACCACCGAGCGGCGUCCCCGUCCCCCGAGUUGAAUCUCUGGGUCAACUCAGCCGACUCUCACAUGUCUGAGCCCCUAUACACUGUCGCUCACGGUUAACGCAUUCCAUCGGGAGCGCGAGGGUUUUGAUAAAGUUAGCGGAAGGAUUUAAGUGACAACAUCCGGUUUUGCAAAGUUAGCGGAAAGAACCACGUGAAACAACAUCCGUUUAUCAAAAUAAGAUGUCGACAAAUCAUACACGAACAUAUAAAAGCAAACAAUGAACUGAUUUUGUAUCUUUAUAGAUCUUUUCUGAGAUUUAGCUUAAAUUAUGCUAACAUUAAAACAUUUUUACUGUACCAAGGAAGAGUUUAUAAAAAUAAGUCAGACUUUUGUAUGUUAAAAGUAGUCCUGUAUAUAGAUUUCCCCAAGAGUUCCAGGAAAUGAAUGAUGCAGAUGUGUUCCAUACAUAUCUGAAAUCCCCUACAAUAGCAAUCAAACAAUUUUAAUGUAUCAAUUAGGACAUUUUUCAAAGUAAAAGUCCUAAAUGUUUAAAGAAAUCGGUAAUUUCUUUAGUGUUUGAGUUGCUUUAUAUAUGUAUUUCCUCAUAGUCCUAGGCAAUAAUGCUACACAAUAAAUAGAAUGCUUCAAUCGACACCGUGAUCGGUAUUAUCGGAUCGGCAGAUACUGAUUUCAGUGAUGGGCACCAAAAACCUGAUCGGUGCAUCUCUAGUUUAAAGUUCAUUAGCGUGGGGAUGUUGGUCAACAUGUGGUUCACCUCUCACUUCCAUUCCAUCAAAAAACAUAAAAGUGAACAUGUCCAACUUCACUUUAGCUUCUCUGUCAACAGAUUCAAAGAGAAUGGGCUCUCGUGUUAAAAUAUGUUAAUGAGGGAAAGUUUUGUAUUUAGUGCUGAAGUGAAUUAUGUUAUUUGGGUAAACAAAAUAGAGAUUAUUUUCUGUCUACCAGGGUAAACUGGAACCAACCAUGGGGCUGCAAAAGCUGUCAGGUGUUCAUCCUACUUCUUACAUGCAAAGUACUCAUUUGUCUGAGCUGAUCUAAGCUAAACCGCUCACCAUCAUUGCAGAUGAAGAUUCACAAGCUGGCAAUGCUACAAGAAGUGAGCACAGGUUGUACACAGUAAAUAUCACGGUGUUCCGAUAUAUUUCUGCAGCAUGAGCCAGAAAUGUACACAAUCUAAAAGAGUUUUACAGUUGCUCCUGCUGGUGUGUGAUUUCCUCCAGAGUGUACAGAAGAACAGGUCAGGCACCCAACGGCUGCAAGCUAAAGUACACAUACAUUUAUUUGAGUUAACUAAAGCUAUGUUGACUUGUCUUCCAGUAUGACGUGUAACGAUGAGUAGGGCUGCCUCCCUCAUAGUCGAUCGCUUUGGACUCAAUAGACCAAGAUUUCUUUGGUCAAUGACACUUUUUUUAUUGCUUUUUUUUCAUGCUGAAUGAUUUAUUUAAAAGAAACCUUUGAGGAAAAUUGCAGCAGCUCUAGACAAGAUUGGCGUCGUACCGAUUGCCUCUCAACAGAUCUCAACAUGGCGACGGCCGAGCCAGUGGCUGCAGCUCACGAUGCUCCCAGUGCAAAGCUUCCCGGUAACUCAGUCGUCCAGGACGGCGUUAUCAGCUGUAACCACUGUGUAACCUUCGGGGCAAGCUCACGUGCACUGACAUGCACUAAAAGCAAGCAUGGCCAGCGCGGCUAUAUAAACAAUGAAGGGAGAUGCUCGGAUUACAACAAACACAGAGGGAGGGGGAGACUUCAUGCUCGGCUCAGGUCGACAUUACUCCACUACAUCCAUGCUCCUGCUUGCUUUGGACGCCACGGUUUUCCACAUGGCAGCCGGGUGAACAGGAAAUAAGCAAGGCAGUAACGGAGUAUUUAUUUAAAAAAAAUUCUGGACUCUAUAGUUGUUCUGUAUGAUCCGUGUAUGAUGGACACGCUGUAUUUGGAUAAAGUGGGGGUCAAGUCAACACUAUGCAAAUCCAGGCAUGACAAAUGGUCAGUCAGUCGUCACGUUGUAGGUCGUGCAGCACGGGGACGGCUCUCCUGCUCUCCAGAGAGAUGAAUAGGAUCUGUCAGCUCCACACACAGCAGCGGUGUUGGUUAUCUCCACCCGGUCAUGGUCAUGUAUCGGGUUUAUAUUCCUCAACACAUGUUAUAAUAGCACAUCAUUAAACUGCAGUCGUUUGAGGCUGUAUUUCUCAUCAGAUAACAGAUUACGUCAUCCUGGUAUGGCAUUAAUCACCCUUCAUACAUGCAGGCACGCCAUAGGAGGCCGAGACGUGUUUGGUCGCGUCGGACCAGAACCAGAGCCGCGGUCGGCGAAGCGUGAACGUGUGUACACACACACACACACACACACCUCAGCCUUUCCAUCCUCUCCAUACCUGACCUGGAUAUUUAUGCCUGAAGGGUCAUAAAUAACUCAUGGCUGCGGUUGGGUUAUCAAUGAUUUAACAUACUUGGGUGCAAUUAUAAUGGCCAUUGUGUACAGACUUGUAUUUAUUUUGCAUUUGCCAAACACAGCUACAUUUUUUUCUUCCAGGUCCUUGAGAGGCUGGUCCACAGUUUCUCAGGCAACUGUCACAGGAGGCCAGAUGUUUUCCACUUGGCUCAAUACUUCCUCCGGCCUAUAGAGAGCAGCACACUCCCCUGGAUAUGUCAUAAAUGAGCUAUAACAUCCAUACUGAGUCUAUCCCUUCAUCUUCUGAUGUAUCAUGCAGAGGAAAGGUGGGAUAUUUGGGGGGUAAAUCACAUUACGUGAACAGUUAAGCAGACAAACAUUUUAAUUCUAAAUUGUACUUUAUUUUCUUUUAAAGACAUAAUGUUUUAAAACAGCGAUUGUAGAGAAUAAAUAAAGAAACAUUA